ACCUCGAGUGAUCCACCUGCCUCGGCCCCCAAAGUGCUGGGAUUACAGAUGUGAACCACCGUACCCAGCCUAUUUUCUUAACUGCAAAAUGGAGACAAUCCCUGUGAGGAUGAACAAUCCCUGUGAAAAUUCAACAGGAUGAGGAAUGGUGGCUCACGUCCGUAAUCCCAGCACUUUGAGAGGGAGGCCGAGGUGGGAGGAUUGCUUGAGCCCAGGAGUUCAAGACCCCGUCCAAUUAAAAAACAAAAUGGAAUAACUAACUAACUAACUUCGACGUGGCCUGGCACAGCGGACACCAGGACUCCAAGAUGGCGUCAGUCGUAUCAGUGAAGGACAAGAAACUUCUGGAGGUCAAACUAGGGGAGCUGCCAAGCUGGAUCUUGAUGCGGGACUUCAGCCCUAGUGGCAUUUUCAGAGCGUUUCAAAGAGGUUACUACUGGUACUACAACAAGUACAUUGACGUGAGGAAAGGGAGCAUCUCAGGGGUUACCGUGGUGCUGGCAUGCUAUGUGCUCUUCAGCUACUGCCUUUCCUACAAGCAUCUUAAGCGCGAGCGGCUACGCAAAUACUACUGAAGAGGACACGCUCUGCAUCCCCCCACCCCGUGACCUUGGCCCGAGCCCUUCCGUGAGGAACACAAUCUUGAUUGUUGCUGAAUCCUUUCAUAUCCUGAUGGGAAUUAACCUCCAAAUAAAAGAUGACUG